UACGUAGGGUGCAAGCGUUGUCCGGAAUUAUUGGGCGUAAAGAGCUCGUAGGCGGUUUGUCGCGUCUGCUGUGUAAUCCCGAGGCUCAACCUCGGGCCUGCAGUGGGUACGGGCAGACUAGAGUGCGGUAGGGGAGAUUGGAAUUCCUGGUGUAGCGGUGGAAUGCGCAGAUAUCAGGAGGAACACCGAUGGCGAAGGCAGAUCUCUGGGCCGUAACUGACGCUGAGGAGCGAAAGCGUGGGGAGCGAACAGG
rnacentral:rRNA from 1 species